rnacentral:lncRNA from 1 species
AAGCCAUGCUGUGGCAGGCAUCCCACAUAUAAAGUAGAGGAAGAUGGGCAUGGAUGUUAGCUCAGGGCCAGUCUUCCUCAGUAAAAAGAGGAGAAUUGGUGGCAGCUGUUAGCUCAGGGCUAAUCUUCCUCAAAAAAAAAAGUAGCUUUUGAAAUUAAUGUUCAAAGGAAAAGGAGAGCAAAAAAUGUACAAUAUAAGAAUCAGAAGAGAAAUGUGGGACCAGCAUAAUUUUAUAAAACAAUAAUUAUAUUAAAUGUGAGUGAGAAAAUGUUUUAGUUAAAAAACAAAGAUUGAAAAUAGGUUUUUUUAAAAACCUCUGAGUAUAUACUGUACAUGAGAGAAAUAUCUUAAAAAUAAGGAUAAAUGGAUCCACAAUCAUGGUAGGUAGAUUACAUACUUCUCUCAGUAAUUGAUAGGCAGAAAAAAAAUCAGCAAGGUUACAGAAUAUUUAAACAACAGAAUUAACAAACUUGAUCUAAUGGACAUAUAAAGAAUUCUAUACCAAACUGCCACAGAUACACGUUCUUUGCAAGUGCAUCCAGAACAUUUACAAAAAUUGUCCAAAUAGUGGGCAGUAAAAGAAAUCUCAACUACUACAAAAAGACUGAAAUCAUACACAGCGUGUUCUCUCACCACAGUGCAAUUUGGUAAAACUAAAUAAUUGAAAAAUGGUAUGUUUAGAAUUUAAGAAAUGCAUUCUAAAUAAUUUGUGAGUCAAAGAAAUUAUAAAUUAGAAAAUAUUUAGAGCUGAACGGUAAUGAAAAUUCGAUGUAUCAAAACUUGUGGAUUUCUACUUUGGGCCAUGAUGGAGUAAGACUGAUCCAUUUGACUCUCUUGCUUUAAAUAGCUAGAAAAACAAACAAAAAAAUAGGAAACUACAGUCUUCAGAUAUUGAAAACAAAGAAGCAGAGGACAUUCAUCCAUGCAAGAAGAGAAAGAAACAAGAUGAGGAGACCACCUGAAGCCAGUGAAAGAACCACUGGAAAGGAGCAGACUGAAAAAAUUGGAACACGCAAAAGGCUGGAAAUAGUUCAUGUUCCUGUGAGCCAGAGUGGAACCACUUCCUCCUACACAGAAUGUUGAGGAGCAUCUUCAGAAGAGUGUUU